GCAGUCGUGGCCGAGCGGUUAAGGCGAUGGACUAGAAAUCCAUUGGGAGUGGUAGCGGUAGUGGAUCCGCGUAGGUUCGAAUCCUACCGACUGCG